CAUUUAAAUUGUAUAUUUUUAUCAUCAUCACCAGAUUUUUAUUGUCAUAUCUAGGUGGCCAUAUAGGAUUCGAUGCUACGAGUGUACGACGUCAAAAACUCGAGAACAUACAAAAAAAAAAAAAACAGUUAUAAAAUCAAGUAGCUGUAACUGCAAUAACGUUACCCUCACCAACGUGACCCACUAAGGCACUAACGUUACACAGCUGACGCGAUCGAUUUUUCCGCGACGUCUCGCACUCUCGCGCUUAACGUUAGUGCGUCGCCGUCAUCGAGUCCCCUAAGUUUAUACGUGCGUGUGUGUGCGUCCUUCAUUCUUUUUGGGUUAUUGGCCAUUGUCGUUGACGCCUCGUAAGGCACUAUUAUUCAAAGGACUAAAAAAAAAAUAUUCCGCCGUGCGAAGUAACAAUAACAUACAAUUACACACGAGGCUUCUGCCACGAAAAUGCCAGUCUGCAAACAAGACGAAACCCUUAGGGCUUUAGCCCUCCUGGAAGACUAUCAUGCAAAACUCUCCACCGUACCCGACAAUGAUCUUCAAGUCGUCAUGAAAAUUGUGAUCAGCGUCUUUAAGUCUAGGCUUUUUCAGGCUCUCGUUGAUAUACAAGAAUUUUAUGAAUUGGCACUUCAAGACGAAAGUCAUUCUGUAACAGAUGAAGAUAUAUCAAUUGCACAAAAAUAUAUCAUGGAUCAAUUUGAUGCUAAAGUUGGUUUGAAUGAUCUUAAUUUUCAACCUUUGGAAACUGAAUGUCAACGUGAUUAUAAAAAGAAAGAAUUUGUGGAUAUAAGUUGUCAAAUUAAUGGACUGAGUGGACAUACUGGUAAUCAGUCAUGCGGAGAUGCUACUGAACAAGAAUCUAAUCUUGAAACUGAUGAUGAAACUGAAUAUUGGGAGUAUGAUAAAAUAACAGUUGAAAGGGGCUCUGGUGGCCUAGGAUUCAGCAUUGCUGGUGGUGUAGAUUCAGAAUCAUUAGUCCUUGUUACUCGAGUUAGUCCAGAUAUCGGUGCAACUGGUCUUCGUGCUAAUGAUAUUAUUUUAAAAGUAAAUGAUCAAUCAUUGGAACACGUUCCUCAUAGUUUUGCUGUAGCUGCUCUUAAAAAUGCUGGAGAUAUUGUUACACUACAUGUUAAACGACGCAAAAAGGAUGCAUUUGUUGAACCAGAAAAAUCAUAUACAGUUACAGAGAUUGAACUAGAAAAAGAGGAUGGUGGUUUUGGCUUCACAAUAGCUGGAGGUGUUGGUAAUGUUCAUUUACCUGGGGAUAGUGGAGUAUAUGUUACAAAGAUUUUAGAAGGUGGUGCAGCUCAUAAAGAUAGUCGUAUAGAAGUUGGUGAUAAAUUGAUUGCAGUUAAAAACACACUGAAUGGUGAUGUAGACUUAGAAAAUGUUACUCACGAGGAAGCAGUUGCUGCACUUAAAGAAACUGGUGAUAAAGUAACACUUGUCAUUGUGAAAGAGUCUCUUAGCAUGCGUUAUAUAAAACCAAAAAUACCAAUUAAAUCCAGCAUUUCGUCUAAAUCAAGCAGUGAAAAUAUAUCAUUAAUGCUUGAAAAAGUAGCCACUAUUCGAAGGUCUGAUGAAGGAUUAGGAUUUAACAUUGUUGGAGGGGAAGAUAAAGAAGGUAUUUUUAUUUCUUAUGUGGCGCCUGGUAGUCCAGCUGAUCAAAAUGGAAUUUUAGAACCAGGUGAUCGUAUUUUAAGUGUUAAUGCAAUUGACAUGUUAAAUGCCACUCAUGAUGAUGCUGCUAUAGCUUUAAAAGGUGAUGGACCGAUUGUUACUAUUGUAGCUCAACAACGGCCUGAAGAAUAUCAUAGACUCCAAAUUAAAUUAGCAGAUAUUAAAGAACAAAUAAUGAAAAAAGCUAUUGUGUCUUCAAGCACAUUACCAAGACCUUCACAAAAAUUACAGUUAUUCGUCAGGGCUUUGUUUGAUUACGAUCCAAACCGAGAUGAUGGCCUACCAAGUCGUGGAAUAUCAUUUACAUAUGGUAGCAUACUACACAUACUUAAUGCUAAUGACGACGAAUGGUGGCAAGCUAAAAAGUUGGUUCCAGCUGGUGAAGAGGAUCGUAUUGGUAUUGUACCUUCAAAAAAGCGCUGGGAACGAAAACAAAAGUCAAGGGAUCGUACAGUUAAAUUUCAAGGACAUGUUCCAGUUCUUAUUGAUAAAACUUCCACUUUGGAAAAGAAAAAGAAAAAUUUUGCUUUAAGUCGAAUGUUUCCAUUUAUGCGUAGUAAAGCAGAUCGUUUGGAAUGCACUGGAACAGACCAAGAUCAUUAUAUGCUUUGUUACACUCAUGAAGAUCCAACAUCUGAAGGUAUUAAUUUAAGCAGCAUAAGCAUAAUUGAACUACUUGUUGAAGAACCAACUUUACCAUAUGAAUCUGUUGUUAAGAAAACGUUGAACUAUAGUCGCCCUGUCAUUGUAGUUGGAAUUUACAAAGACAAAAUAAAUGAUCAUCUAAUAUCAGAAUAUCCAGAAGAGUUUGGAUCAUGUGUACCUCACACGUCGAGAGAAAUUCGGCAUGGGGAAGUUGAUGGUGUUCAUUAUCAUUUUAUUAAAUCACGUGAACAAAUGGAGCGUGAUAUUAAAGAACAUUUAUUUAUUGAAGCUGGCCAGUUUAAUGAUAAUUUAUAUGGAACAUCUCUAGCUUCAGUCCAAGAAGUUGCUGAACAAAACAAACAUUGCAUUCUUGACGUAAGCUCCAAUGCUAUUAAACGUUUACAAGCAGCAGACCUGUAUCCUAUUACUAUAUUUAUUAAAGCAUCUUCUCUUGACUUUAUUAUGAAAAUCAGCGAUAAAAUGACUGAAGACCGGGCAAAGAAAAUUUAUGAUCAAGAAAUGAAAGUUGAACAAGAUUAUAAUGAAUAUUUAACAGCUAUUAUAAAAGGUGAUUCAUUUGAAGACAUUUUUGAAAAAGUAAAAAAUGUUAUCGACGAACAUUCAGGACCUGAUGUGUGGUUACCAAAUAAAGAUUUAACUAUCUAAAAUGAUCAUACUAGAAAGUAGUGAUUAUUGUAAUUGAAAAAAGCAUAAGUAUCUAAUUACUUUAGAUGUGUUUAGUUACAGGUUCUUUUAACCAUACACGCACAACAAAAGAAAAACAUUAUUUCAAUCUCGGCAUGUACACAUAACUUGUUCAUUAAUUCUACUACUAAGAAACAAAUUACAGAAUUAAAAAUAUAGUAGGGAAAAUAAUAAUUAUAUAUUUUAAUACCAGUGGAAUUCUGGAAUUUAAGUUGAAACUAGUUAAAAAAAACUAAUUCUUACAAAACUUACUUUAGUGAUUUGUUUUAGGCAGCUUAAUAUAAUGAUUAUCUUCCACUACUUAUUAUAAACUAUAAAGUAUGUAUAGUUUUAAAAAAGUAUUUUAUAAUGGCCACAUUUGAAAUAAUUGUAUUUAUCAUUUUACUAUAAUCUCUGAAAACCAAAAACUUUCCAAUAAUAUGGUUGCUAAUAACUAUUCAGUGGUUGCUCAAAGCAAAAUUCAUUGAUUUGAAAAUGAUUAAAUUAAAUUAUAUAGUAUAGAUACAAUAAUUGUAUUUUUUUUAAAACUUUUACAGUAAAUUUUAGGUUUAGAAGAAAUGAGCAAAGAUGUUAAUAAUUUAACAAUGGUUGUGAAUAGUAUGUGUUUUUUAGAUUCUGAGCUGGUCUUACCUUUAAAGAAAUUUUGGAAACAACAAAUUGUGUUGAAGAAAUGUAAGCUAAUAUUAGUUUUGAUUAUUUUUAGGUAAACAAAGUUCUAACUAGAACUGUUUUUAUGAUUCAUCAUUGCCUUUAGAUUGAAAUAUAUCUAUACUAGUCAAC
rnacentral:misc_RNA from 1 species